rnacentral:rRNA from 1 species
GACGAACGCUGGCGGCAUGCCUAAUACAUGCAAGUCGAGCGGAGUUGACGAGAAGCUUGCUUCUCUGAUACUUAGCGGCGGACGGGUGAGUAACACGUAGGCAACCUGCCUUUCAGUUUGGGAUAACUUCCGGAAACGGAUGCUAAUACCGAAUACAUCAUCUUCUGGCAUCAGAGAAUGAGGAAAGACGGCGCAAGCUGUCACUGAGAGAUGGGCCUGCGGCGCAUUAGCUAGUUGGUGGGGUAAUGGCUCACCAAGGCGACGAUGCGUAGCCGGCCUGAGAGGGUGAACGGCAACACUGGGACUGAGACACGGCCCAGACUCCUACGGGAGGCAGCAGUAGGGAAUCUUCAACAAUGGGCGAAAGCCUGAUGGAGCAAUGCCGCGUGAGUGAUGAAGGUUUUCGGAUCGUAAAGCUCUGUUGCCAGGGAAGAACGUCCGGGUGAGUAACUGCACCCGGAGUGACGGUACCUGAGAAGAAAGCCCCGGCUAACUACGUGCCAGCCGCCGCCGUAA